CGUGCGGUUUUUAUUAUUAUUAAUUCUUUUUUUUUCCUUUUUUUUUUUUUUUUUAUAAGAAAGUAAAGAAGCCGUGAUGCCGAACAAGGCCAAGGCCGGUCGAACCGGUUCUCUAUUCAGUUAUUUGUUUUUUUUUUUUUUUUAUUCCACGUUCGUUGCCGUUGUCUUUCACCAGUGUAAUAAUAAUAAUAACGUACUUACUAUCUAUAAAUACUAAUAAUAUAUAUUUAAGCGCGUUUGUAUAAAUAUACAUUUUACGCGUGUACACGCGAAUACAUAAUGUAAUAAAAUAAUACAUAAAUCAUUUUCGUUGUGCGGAUAAUAACGAAAAAAGUGUUAUUAUUAUUAUUAUUUAAUUUUUCGAAAAAAAAAAAAAAAAAACAGUUUCGUGCGAACGUGUCGUCUCUCUCUCACUCCCUCCUCUCUCAAUCUCUCUCUCUCUCUCUCUCCGGUUGCCAAUUAAUGCCCGCGCACCCAACACUCGAGUCGGUCGUUGAACUCGACGCGGUCGCGCGGGAG